rnacentral:rRNA from 1 species
GGUGAACGUUGGCGGUGCGUCUAAUACAUGCAAGUCGAGCGAGGCUUCGAGCCGUGUGGCAGACGGCUGAGUAACACGCUGGUAACUACCUCAAACUUAGCGAUAACGCCGCGUAAUCGGAGCUACUACCGGCUGGUGCCGUAAGGGGAUAGGAUUUCCGGUUUGAGAGGUGCCUGCGUCCUAUUAGGUAGUUGGUGAGGUAACGGCUCACGAAGCCUAUGACGGGUGACUGGUCUGAGAGGAUGACCAGUCAGAGGGAGACUGAGACACGGGUCCCACAUCUACGGAAGGCAGCAGUAAAGAAUCUUCCACAAUGGACGAAAGUCUGAUGGAGCGACACCGCGUGCAGGAUGAAGGCCCUUGGGUCGUAAACUGCUUUUUUGGGGGAAAAAUUCUGAGUGUACCCUAAGAAUAAGCACCGGCAAAUCACGUG